rnacentral:rRNA from 1 species
UACCAGCUCUUCGAGUGGUGUGGAUGUUUAUUGGGCCUAAAGCAUCCGUAGCUGGCUCGGCAAGUCCUCUGUUAAAUCCACCGAUUUAAUCGUUGGAGCGCGGGGGAUACUGUUCGGCUAGGGGACGGGAGAGGCAGACGGUAUUUUCGGGGUAGGGGUGAAAUCCUAUAAUCCCGAGAAGACCACCAGUGGCGAAGGCUGUCUGCUAGAACGCGCCCGACGGUGAGGGAUGAAAGCUGGGGGAGCGAACCGGAUUAGAUGCCCGGGUAGUCCCAGCUGUAAACGAUGCAGGCUAGGUGUUUGGACGGCCACGUGCCGUUCUAGUGCCGCAGGGAAGCCGUUAAGCCUGCCGCCUGGGGAGUACGGCCGCAAGGCUAGAAACUUAAGGGAAUUGGGCGGGGGAGCACCACGAAGGGGUGAAGCUUGCGGUUU